UACGAAGGGAGCUAGCGUUGCUCGGAAUCACUGGGCGUAAAGCGCACGUAGGCGGGUUCUUAAGUCAGGGGUGAAAUCCUGGAGCUCAACUCCAGAACUGCCUUUGAUACUGGGAAUCUCGAGUCCGGGAGAGGUGAGUGGAACUGCGAGUGUAGAGGUGAAAUUCGUAGAUAUUCGCAAGAACACCAGUGGCGAAGGCGGCUCACUGGCCCGGUACUGACGCUGAGGUGCGAAAGCGUGGGUAGCAAACAGG
rnacentral:rRNA from 1 species